GACGAGGGGUCCAAGCGUUGUUCGGAAUCAUUGGGCGUAAAGCGGGUGUAGGUGGCUUUGUAAGUCAGGAGUGAAAUCCCCGAGCUUAACUUGGGAAGUGCUUUUGAAACUGCAAAGCUUGAGUGUGGGAGAGGAUCGUGGAAUUCCAGGUGUAGUGGUGAAAUACGUAGAUAUCUGGAGGAACACCGGUGGCGAAGGCGGCGAUCUGGCCCAACACUGACACUGAGACCCGAAAGCGUGGGGAUCGAAACAGG
rnacentral:rRNA from 1 species